AAUCUCCAGAGGACGGAACAGGCAGCCGUCGCCCGUCAAAAGACGUUAGGAGAUGCAGGAUGGUCACCCUGCCGGAGAUU
rnacentral:ncRNA from 1 species